UAUACUGUAUGUAAUAUGGGAUGGCUAUUUUGAUUAAGAGAUCAAUUUUUAUGCAGGUUUAUCUACACUCUUCUCCGCCUGGGAAUCAUCAUGUGCUUGCUGACCUGCUCGGGCCACAUCGCCGCUGAAACUGCAAACAGCCCCUGCCUGUCUUGUCACGUGAUCUUUGUAUUCUUGCUUGUGAUACUGGAAGCUGCAAUCGCCGCCGAUGUAUUUUUGAAUAGCUACUGGGAGGAGGACAAAUCCCACCAGACUUGGCUCUAAUUGAAGUUAUCGUAAGAGUAAGCAAUCAGCACUUGCUGUUCUGUUUUCUGAUUCUAUUGAGAAAGCUCAAAAUUUGCAGUGUAAGAUCAAACUUUUGCUCGCAGAAUAUUGAAUGUGCGCUAAAAAGUAUGUAGAUUUACUCAUGAGGGCAGAAUCCUGUGAAUUUCUUUUGAAUCGAUUGCUCAAUUAGGAAUAAUAACAUACAUGAUUUACGCAUGUGUGGACUUGGAACUUAUGAUCCUUUUGUUUGCGAACUAUUGUUGCAUAUGUACGCAUGUGUGGACUUCCGUUGGAUA